rnacentral:rRNA from 1 species
UGGGGAAUAUUGCACAAUGGGCGCAAGCCCGAUGCAGCCAUGCCGCGUGUAUGAAGAAGGCCUUCGGGUUGUAAAGUACUUUCAGCGGGGAGGAAGGCGAUAAGGUUAAUAACCUUGUCGAUUGACGUUACCCGCAGAAGAAGCACCGGCUAACUCCGUGCCAGCAGCCGCGGUAAUACGGAGGGUGCAAGCGUUAAUCGGAAUUACUGGGCGUAAAGCGCACGCAGGCGGUCUGUCAAGUCGGAUGUGAAAUCCCCGGGCUCAACCUGGGAACUGCAUUCGAAACUGGCAGGCUAGAGUCUUGUAGAGGGGGGUAGAAUUCCAGGUGUAGCGGUGAAAUGCGUAGAGAUCUGGAGGAAUACCGGUGGCGAAGGCGGCCCCCUGGACAAAGACUGACGCUCAGGUGCGAAAGCGUGGGGAGCAAACA